ACKGCUCAGUAACACGUGGAUAACCUACCCUUGGGACGGGCAUAAACCCGGGAAACUGGGUAUAAUUCCCGAUAGGUCUGGGAGGCUGGAACGCAUUCAGACUGAAAGCUCCGGCACCCAAGGAUGGGUCUGCGGCCUAUCAGGUAGUAGUGGGUGUAACGUACCUACUAGCCUACUACGGGUACGGGUUGUGAGAGCAAGAGCCCGGAGAUGGAUUCUGAGACACGAAUCCAGGCCCUACGGGGUGCAGCAGGCGCGAAAACUUUACAAUGCGGGCAACCGCGAUAAGGGGACCUCGAGUGCCGACAUCAAAUGUCGGCUGUCGUGAUGCCUAAAAAGCAUUACAUAGCAAGGGCCGGGCAAGACCGGUGCCAGCCGCCGCGGUAACACCGGCGGCUCGAGUGGUGACCGCUAUUAUUGGGUUUAAAGGGUCUGUAGCCGGCCGGAUAAGUCUCUUGGGAAAUCUGGCCGCUCAACGGUCAGGCUUUCAGGAGAUACUGUCUGGCUCGAGGCCGGGAGAGGUGAGAGGUACUUCAGGGGUAGGGGUGAAAUCUUGUAAUCCUUGAAGGACCACCAGUGGCGAAGGCGUCUCACCAGAACGGACCUGACGGCAAGGGACGAAAGCUAGGGGCACGAACCGGAUUAGAUACCCGGGUAGUCCUAGCCGUAAACGAUACUCGCUAGGUGUCGGCCACGGUGCGACCGUGGUCGGUGCCGCAGGGAAACCGUGAAGCGAGCCACCUGGGAAGUACGGCCGCAAGGCUGAAACUUAAAGGAAUUGGCGGGGGAGCAC
rnacentral:rRNA from 1 species